rnacentral:rRNA from 1 species
GACGUAGGGCGCGAGCGUUGUCCGGAUUUAUUGGGCGUAAAGAGCUCGUAGGCGGCUUGUCACGUCGAAUGUGAAAACUUGGGGCUCAACUCCAAGCUUGCAUUCGAUACGGGCAGGCUAGGGUUCGGUAGGGGAGACUGGAAUUCCUGGUGUAGCGGUGAAAUGCGCAGAUAUCAGGAGGAACACCGAUGGCGAAGGCGGUCUCUGGGCAACUACUGACGCUGAGGAAGCGAAAAGCGUGGGGAGCGAACAGGAUUAGA